GACGAACGCUGGCGGCGUGCCUAAUACAUGCAAGUCGAACGCAGUGGGGACGGGUGAGUAACACGUGGGUAACCUCCCAUCAGAGGGGAUAACACUUGGAAACAGGUGCUAAACCGAUACUGAUGGAUGGACCCGCGGUGCAUUAGCUAGUUGGUGAGGUAACGGCUCACCAAGGCCACGAUGCAUAGCCGGCCCGGGAGGGUGGUCCGCCACCCCGGGACCGGGACACGGCCCCGAAUCCUACGGGAGGCCGCAGUAGGGAAUUUUUGGCCAUGGACGAAAGUCUGACCGAGCAACGCCGCGGGAUGGAAGAAGGUUUUCGGGUCGUAAAGCUCUGUUGUUAGAGAAGCGGUAACUAACCAGAAAGGGCCGGCUAACUACGUGCCAGCAGCCGCGGUAAUUC
rnacentral:rRNA from 1 species